ACGCUUGGUACGGUCGGACAUCGUGCCUAAAGUGCAAUGGCAAAAGCGUGCUUAACUGCGAGACUGACAAGUCGAGCAGGUGCGAAAGCAGGACAUAGUGAUCCGGUGGUUCUGUAUGGAAGGGCCAUCGCUCAACGGAUAAAAGGUACUCUGGGGAUAACAGGCUGAUACCGCCCAAGAGUUCAUAUCGACGGCGGUGUUUGGCACCUCGAUGUCGGCUCAUCUCAUCCUGGGGCUGUAGCCGGUCCCAAGGGUAUGGCUGUUCGCCAUUUAAAGAGGUACGUGAGCUGGGUUUAAAACGUCGUGAGACAGUUUGGUCCCUAUCUGCUGUGGGCGUUGGAGAUUUGACGGGGGCUGCUCCUAGUACGAGAGGACCGGAGUGGACACACCUCUGGUGUACCUGUUGUCACGCCAGUGGCAUCGCAGGGUAGCUAAGUGUGGAAGAGAUAACCGCUGAAAGCAUCUAAGCGGGAAACUUGCCUGAAGAUGAGAUCUCCCUGGGGACUCGAUCCCCCUGAAGGGUCGUCCAAGACCAGGACGUUGAUAGGCCGGGUGUGGAAGCGCAGUAAUGCGUGCAGCUAACCGGUACUAAUUGCCCGUGAGGCUUGACCCU
rnacentral:rRNA from 1 species